CAGAAUAAUUACAGCGUCUAAAAAACAGCUUAUCCCAUGAAUCACAGAAGUUAAGCUACGUUGCGCUUGGUUGGUACCCGGAUGGGUGACCAUUUGGGCAAUCACGUGCUGGCUUUU
rnacentral:rRNA from 1 species